rnacentral:rRNA from 1 species
CGUGUCGUGAGAUGUUGGGUUAAGUCCCGCAACGAGCGCAACCCUUGUCAUUAGUUGCUACGAAAGAGCACUCUAAUGAGACUGCCGGUGACAAACCGGAGGAAGGUGGGGAUGACGUCAGGUCCUCAUGGCCCUUAUGGGUAGGGCUACACACGUCAUACAAUGGCCGGUACAGAGGGUUGCCAACCCGCGAGGGGGAGCCAAUCCCAGAAAGCCGGUCGUAGUCCGGAUCGCAGUCUGCAACUCGACUGCGUGAAGUCGGAAUCGCUAGUAAUCGCGGAUCAGCUUGCCGCGGUGAAUACGUUCCCGGGUCUU